AAUGCUUCAACAUUUUGUCCAGCAAUCUAAACAAACGAAUCUCCCCGCCUUCGGAGUAAAAAGUUUCGUUAGUCACUAAACUUAGUACAAUGUCAUGUUGUAGUCACUGAACUUUGUUUUGCUGUUGAAUGCUCACUGAACUUACAAACCCAUCUCUCCAUCCAUCACUCCCCAAAAAGCCGUUUGAAAUUGUCUGAUCUGGCUUGAUGGAAUUCCACGUGGCAUUCAAUGGUGUCAAAACUGAUUCACGGUGGACGUGUGUUUCAGAAUACACGAUUUUAUUCCAUUCAAAGCUGAAACCCAAUUUCCCCAAUUCACUAUCCCUGCCUCGCAUGAACCCUAAUUCAAUUUCCCGCACUUCAAAACAUCUGGAUCGAACACAUAGUCGCUUGCCAGAAGUUCUUCGCCUUCUAAUGUACACCAUCCCUAGCUGUAGGUGGUUUUCAAUCCAUAAACUUUGAACCACAUCCCAGUUACAUAAACGUUCAAAACGCGAUGGAGGAAACUACAAGAGCCCAACCAACCGUGAACGGUGAAGGUAAUCUCCUUAAUUCUCAUUAAUUGGUGUGAAGAAUAUGUAAUUGACACUCUUGAAUGACCGAAUUUUUGUUCAAAUUAGCUAGCUGCAUAAAAUCGAGGAGAAUUGUGAGAUUUUUGUUCGUUCAGGUUGUUUGAAUAAUUUCUCAUUGAAAGCACUUUGAAUUUGGGUUCACCCACUAAGCAUUUUUGAAAUUGGAUGCUGAAAAUGAAGUGAUCUCCAUUAAUUCAUCUUGUUAGAGAAUGCUCAAAAUGAUAUGCUGGUCAUUGUUUUAUUUUGUUUGGGUCUGAAAAUGAACUAAUAGUCGUAGUUGUGAUAGGAAAUUAUUGAAUUAGCGUUGCAGACAUUAUUAUGUUGCUGAUUACAUUGUAUAAUUUCUGUACACAUCAACUGAGUACUUUUAAUUUCUUCAUGAAAUCUGUUCUAUAUUAUACAUUACGGGUCGAUUUUGUUUGUUUGAUUUUAUAGGGUAAACUGAUAGGUGCAAGAGGGAAGGGCUCACCGAGCGAUAACGUGCGUGAAGAACAUCAAAUGCUGUGAAGAUUUUGUCAAUUGAACAGAAUGGCUGAUUAAUACUUGAACCGAAUGGCAGCUUCUUGGGGCUCAUUUGCUGUGAAGAUUUUGUCAAUUGAAAUUGGAAAAUUUUUGUUUUGUAUGUUAAAUGUCAGCAUAUAUUAGAACCUUUCUUUUGAUUCACAAUUGGUGUCUUGUAAUGAGAGCGAAGUGUUGCAUGUUUGUAAAACUUUCUUUUGACAUCUCAUUUGGAGUCUAUAUGUUUUGUUAAUGUAUUUUAGAUGUCCUCCAAUGGAUUUUGUAAUCUUUUGUAAGUUUGUUGCUGGCAGUAAAUUUUAAACUUUUGACAAGGCAUUGUGAAUUGGGUGUAGGCCUUUUGAUGAUGGGAUAUCAAUGAAAUACACUGGUUUUUGUCCAUGGCAAUAUUCCUGUUAUUUAGAACUUCUAAGUUUGUUGCUGGCUGUACAUUUUAAACUUUUGACAGGGCAAUUUUUGUAUGCCCACAUCAC
rnacentral:lncRNA from 1 species